rnacentral:rRNA from 1 species
AGCUCCAAUAGCGUAUAUUAAAGUUGUUGCGGUUAAAAAGCUCGUAGUUGGAGUUCUGCCAGGUGCCGUCUGUCCGCCCAAGUGGUGAGCACGUGACGCGCAUCUGGCCCUCUCGAGGGGAGCGUUUCUGUACUUUAGUGUACGGAAUGGGAUCCUCGACUUUUACUUUGAGGAAAUAAGAGUGUUCCAAGCAGGCACAUGUCGUGCAUAGCUCAGCAUGGAAUAAUAGCAUUGGACCUCGAUUCCCAGCUGUUGGUUGCCGGAGCGAGGUAAUGAUGAAGAGGGAUAAUCGGGGGCAUUCGUAUUUAACUGUCAGAGGUGAAAUUCUUGGAUUUGUUAAAGACGGACCACUGCGAAAGCAUCUGCCAUGGAUGUUUUCA